AGAGUUUGAUCAUGGCUCAGAUUGAACGCUGGCGGCAUGCUUUACACAUGCAAGUCGAACGGCAGCGGGGGCUUCGGCCUGCCGGCGAGUGGCGAACGGGUGAGUAAUGCAUCGGAACGUGCCCAUGUCGUGGGGGAUAACGUAUCGAAAGGUACGCUAAUACCGCAUACGUCCUGAGGGAGAAAGCAGGGGCUCUUUAUGACCUUGCGCUAAUAGAUGAGCCUAAGUCGGAUUAGCUAGUUGGUGGGGUAAAGGCCUACCAAGGCGACGAUCUGUAGCGGGUCUGAGAGGAUGAUCCGCCACACUGGGACUGAGACACGGCCCAGGCUCCUACGGGAGGCAGCAGUGGGGAAUAUUGGACAAUGGGGGGAACCCUGAUCCAGCCAUGCCGCGUGUGUGGAGAAGGCCUUUUGGUUGUAAAGCACUUUAAGUGGGGAGGAGGCUUACCUGGUUAAUACCUGGGCUAAGUGGACGUUACCCACAGAAUAAGCACCGGCUAACUCUGUGCCAGCAGCCGCGGUAAUA
rnacentral:rRNA from 1 species